GGCGCCAGGUGCGUGCUGUACCUGGCUGAUGCUAAUGGCGGUUCAUUUAUGUUCUUCCGGUGUGCGCGCGACCCCCUUUUUUGGUUUUCACCUCGUUUGUGUUUGAGAAGCCCAGUGGAAACAAACGGAUGGUUUUUUUAUACUGACAGCAGUGAAAUGGAUUUAAGGCCGAUUUGGAAGAGUUCAUGGUGCACGCGCGCACACAGGUGCCGAGUCAGUCUUUGUGCAGCUCCAUGAGCGGUGUUGGACGACAAGAGUCCAGUGUUGGCUGACAUUCUGAGCCGUUUGACAUCCUGAGCUACAGAUCAAUACAUCAUCACCGGAGGUAGCUCGUUUUGGAAAAACACUACAACCAAAGUCAAGUGGGGGUAAAGGACGGGCAGGAUAAGGACAGUGACUUGGUCUGAGAAGAUGGUAACACUUUGUUUUACAGGCAGCUUGGUGCAGGAAAAGGCAGCUGUGAAUGCUGCCCACGGUCUCCCUUUUCUCCAACCUCAACAACACUGCUGCACCACACUGAGAAAAUGUGCAACCUGGUAAAUCCAUUAAUGCCUCUGAUCAAGUCCCAUCUUAUAAGAAAGAAAAAAUGAAAAACUGCAGCUGUUGGAGGCCGAGCAUAAAGAUGUAAAACUGACAGGAAAAAGAUGGAAGUCUGGUGGAUGGAGCCAAAAAUAAGAUCUCUCCCUCCCUGUGUUUCACUAACUGACUUUUUCUCCUGCUCUGUCCAUCAUGUCGGGCCACUGUGACUGAAUCGGUCGCUCUGUGGUCAAGCUGUUGCUUUGUGA